GAUGAACGCUGGCGGCGUGCCUAAUACAUGCAAGUCGAGCGAAGCGGGGACGGGGGCGUAAGACGUGGAUAACCUCCUAUAAGUCCGGGAUAGCUUGGGGAAACCGGAGGUAAACGGGAUACUUCUAGGUGGCUCCGCGCUGCAUUCGCUCGUUGGUAAGGUAACGGCUUACCAAGGCAACGAUGCAUCGCCGACCUGUGAGGGUGAUCGGCCACACUGGAACUGAGACACGGACCCGACGCCUACGGGAGGCAGCAGGAGGGAAUCUUCCGCAAUGGACGAAAGCCUGACGGAGCAACGCCGCGUGAGUGAUGAAGGUUUUCGGAUCGUAAAACUCUGUUAUUAGAGAAGCGGUACCUAAUCAGAAAGCCACGGCUAACUACGUGCCAGCAGCCGCGGUAAUUC
rnacentral:rRNA from 1 species